rnacentral:sRNA from 1 species
CGGACGCGUGGGCGGACGCGUGGGCGGUAAUUAAAGCUCUUGUACCCUCAGCAAGCCUCAUG